rfam:Streptomyces sviceus ATCC 29083 chromosome, whole genome shotgun sequence.
UCGGUCCCGGUUCACGCCCCCGCAAUCCGCGAUGGCGACCCGGCACC